rnacentral:rRNA from 1 species
GAUGAACGCUGGCGGCGUGCCUAAUACAUGCAAGUCGAGCGAAAGGACGAGAAGCUUGCUUCUCUGAUGUUAGCGGCGGACGGGUGAGUAACACGUGGAUAACCUACCUAUAAGACGGGGAUAACUACGGGAAAAAGGAGAUAAUAACGGAGAAUAUGUUGAACGGGAGGGAGCAGAGGAGAAAGGGAGUCUGGCUGACAGAUAGAGAUGGAGCCGCGUCGCAUUAGCUAGUUGGUAAGGUAACGGCACACCAAGGCAACGAUGCUUAGCUGAGCUGAGAGGAUGAUCGGCCACACUGGAACUGAGACACGGUCCAGACUCCUACGGGAGGCAGCAGUAGGGAAUCUUCCGCAAUGGGCGCAAGCCUGACCCAGCCAUGCCGCGUGAGUGAUGAAGGUCUUCGGAUCGUAAAACUCUUUUAUUAGGGAAGAACAUCUGUGUAAUUAUCUGUGCACAUCUUGACGGUACCUAAUCAGAAAGCCCCGGCUAACUACGUG